GAUAAACGCUGGCGGCACACAUAAGACAUGCAAGUCGAACGGACUAAUUUUAGAAAUGUUUACUAUUUUUUUAAUUGUUAGUGGCGGACUGGUGAGUAACACGUAAGCAACCUGCCUAUUAGAGGGGAAUAACAAUGAGAAAUCAUUGCUAAUACCGCAUAUGCCAUAAUUAUCACAUGAUAGUAGUGGGAAAGAAGUAAUUCGCUAAUAGAUGGGCUUGCGUCUGAUUAGUUAGUUGGUGGGGUAAUGGCCUACCAAGACUACGAUCAGUAGCCGGACUGAGAGGUUCAACGGCCACAUUGGGACUGAGAUACGGCCCAGACUCCUACGGGAGGCAGCAGUCGGGAAUUUUGCGCAAUGGAGGAAACUCUGACGCAGUGAUGCCGCGUAUAGGAAGAAGGUUUUCGGAUUGUAAACUAUUGUCUGCAGGGAAGAUACAAGACUGUACCUGCAAAGAAAGCUCCGGCUAACUACGUG
rnacentral:rRNA from 1 species